rnacentral:rRNA from 1 species
UACAGAGGGUGCGAGCGUUGUCCGGAAUCACUGGGCGUAAAGGGCGCGUAGGUGGCGUUCCAAGUCAACGGUGAAAGCUCGGGGCUCAACCCCGAGUCGGCCGUCGAUACUGGGAGGCUUGAGCACUGUAGAGGCAGAUGGAAUUCCGGGUGUAGCGGUGGAAUGCGUAGAGAUCCGGAAGAACACCGGUGGCGAAGGCGGUCUGCUGGGCAGUAGCUGACACUGAGGCGCGACAGCGUGGGGAGCAAACAGG